AUACGGAAGGUCCGGGCGUUAUCCGGAUUUAUUGGGUUUAAAGGGAGCGCAGGCGGCCUUUUAAGCGUGACGUGAAAUGUAGGCGCUCAACGUCUGAAUUGCGUCGCGAACUGUUAGGCUUGAGUAGACGGAAUGUCGGCGGAAUUCGUGGUGUAGCGGUGAAAUGCUUAGAUAUCACGAAGAACUCCGAUUGCGAAGGCAGCUGACAGCAGUUUUACUGACGCUCAUGCUCGAAAGUGCGGAUAUCGAACAGGAUUAGAUACCCUGGUAGUCCGCACGGUAAACGAUGGAUGCCCGCUGUUUGCCUUUUUGGUAAGCGGCCAAGCGAAAGCAUUAAGCAUCCCACCUGGGGAGUACGCCGGCAACGGUGAAACUCAAAUGAAUUGACGGGG
rnacentral:rRNA from 1 species